UCCAACUGCUGAUAUGCAAAGAGAAAUACAUAAUCAAAUCUUGUACUUUUCGAGCUUAAGUAUGCAAAAAACAGCAUCAGACUGGCAUCUAACCUAUAUUUCAUUCUAUAUUUACAUGAAACUGAUAUCCUUCCAAACAUACGACACUUUAUAUGUACAAUUAGGUCACUGUCUGCUUGGAAAGCCUUUUAGAGACCCCUUCAAUUGGUCAGUCAGGCAUGAACCGGGUCAUGCGCACAAAUGAACUUAAUACUACACAUUUACUGCAUUUUAAUGCACAUGCAGAUUUCAAACCCCGCCACCAGUCUUGCUUUCUCAUGCACAUACAGACAGUUAAAAUUGACAAAAAUAAAGAAAAAUUAUAAAAAUGUACAUGCUGACAUUUUAUACAAGUUGAAACAAAAUGUAUUUGUCGUUUGUGCAUUAUGCAAGGAUAUACAAAAUUUAAAGUCACACCUUAAUAUAAAUAGCCAUUUAUUACAUAUUGAUUGUGUGUUGUUAAUACAUUGCAUUAUUAAUCAGACAAAGUAAUCCAUAUGAGAGACAGAGGGAGUAACAAAGCAGUUUUUCUCAAUGAAUUAUCAACGUCUAUUGGCAGGUGGCCAUGGGAACUAGAAUAGCCGGGUUUAAUCUUCGAGAACAUCCUUAAAGGACUUGAAGGAAACACGUAACCUCAAACUCUGCUCAGUCAGCAGACAUUGAUCUUAUUAAACUUUUGUGCUGGAUGUCCACGUACUGACCAGGCAGAAUGUGAAGCACACAUUAAAUGCAAAUUUAAGUAACUCCCCUCCCACUUUUUGUUAUUAUUCCUAAUGAUGAUUAUCAAUUAAUUUGUAUUACUCUAAUAUGACAAUCCUGUCUGGAUACAAUUCUGUUAAGAUGACAACUAAUACAAGGUUAAAGUAAAACCUCAUGCAUUAAAUAAAAAAAACGUUACAUACUAAAUGGACAUGAACAAUUUAUUCUUUACAUAUUUAGAUUUGGUUAGCUGAUAUUUUUGUCUAGACAUACCUUUUUGUUUUACUAAACAUGAACCAAAGAAUAUAUUUAAUAACCAUUUCGAUAAAUACCUUCACUAUUUAUAGCUAACAACCUACAUAUCACUGAUGCAGUUUUGAUGAGUAAUUCAUCUGCACACACGCAAAAAAAAAAAAAAAUCAUCUGCACGCACGCCAUACGGGCGUAAUUUCGACCAAUCAUCGCUAACUGUGAGUGGUCACGUAGGAUUCCUACGCUCCUGCUGCAUCGAAGCACGAUUUAAAACCGAUGCCAUCACCGGUGUCCUUAGGUGUUCGACUUCAUGCGGCGCUGCGCAGACGGAUCGCUGUAUGACGUCAAAGUACCGCGAGAGCGAUUCAAAAGCACAUCUCCUUCGCCAAACUGUCUGCGCAGCGCCACACAGGUGUCGGUUGUCAUGACGACCGUGCCAUAAAACACGUUCCUCAUGCACGUUCACACAGAAUCGCCAGAGCGAAUGUGUAUUCGCCAAAUUAUUCAGCUGACUAUCACUUUAAACUACAAGGAAUUCCCUGGAUGUGAUGGCACAGGAGGUUAUAAAAAUACAUCAUACUUCAUUGGCACCGAGUCACUUCCAGUAUUUGAUGCAGACUGGCAAUCCCAUUAACAUUCCAUCAGCACGAACUCUUGAUCUGUUUACAACCUGUUAACAGAUCUGGUUCACCAAGGACAUCUGGGACAUACGGGUUCAAUUUCAGUUUGGCGUGAAGCCCAACCCAAACACUGAUCUGCCUGAUGCCCAUCGUCAUGCUGCCAAUUUAAAGACUACCCUGUGACAUCUGACAAUUUCCUUGUGCACUUGUAGCGAUGGCAUUCACUAUAUUCUAUAUAGCAUAUACUGUAUAUAUAGUAUAGUAUAUACUAAAUUCUAUAACAUAUGGAGAUGUAAUCAGUAACAUUGGGUUUUCUCCAUUGGGUUACAAAUUGUAGCUGUGUUUUGGAUUGCAGCUGUAACAUUUCAGAUGAUAACUAGCCAUCCUUUUUAAGGAGAACAUAUCAUGAAAAUCUGACUUUAUCCUUGUUUAAGUGCUAUAAUUGGGUCCCCAGUGCUUCUUAAACCUAGAAAAUGUGAAAAAGAACAACCCAGUUACUUAGUUUUGGUAAACCAUUCACUGCAAGCAUGUGAAAAAAUAGGUCAUUGAUAUUUGGCUGCCCCUGUGAUGUCAGAAGGGAUAAUACCAGCCCUUAAUCUGCACUAUCCAACCACGGCACUGCA